UACGUAGGGUGCGAGCGUUGUCCGGAAUUAUGGGGCGUAAAGAGCUUGUAGGCGGUUUGUCGCGUCUGCUGUGAAAAUCCGGGGCUCAACCCCGGACUUGCAGUGGGUACGGGCAGACUAGAGUGUGGUAGGGGAGACUGGAAUUCCUGGUGUAGCGGUGGAAUGCGCAGAUAUCAGGAGGAACACCGAUGGCGAAGGCAGGUCUCUGGGCCACUACUGACGCUGAGAAGCGAAAGCAUGGGGAGCGAACAGG
rnacentral:rRNA from 1 species